GGCGGGGAUUGUGGGAGCCGCCCGUCGCCGGGUUGGCAGACGUGAGAAGAAGCGAAGAUGGCGGAGUGAGGAGUGCCUCGGCCAUUUGGCCGUUUGGCCUCUGGGCCGGGGGCGUGCAGGCCCUCGGGAAGCCGACUGCGUCUGAUGGACCAUGUGAGAAUUCUUGUCACACAGGAUGAACACUUUCCUUACAUUUAGGUGCUUUUUAUUCAUCUCAAAACAAAAUUCUGAACUCAGGAUGUGGCUGGUAUUUCUAUGUUGUCUUCUAGAGCGGGUAGUCCUGCUUCUUUUAUCCAGCCACUUUCCCUACUGAAAUAUGGAUACCUUUCUACACAUUACCUCCAUGGUUUAGAUUGGAAAAGAUUGCUUUUCUUUUGUUCCAUCUUUCAAAUUCAACACAGAAAGAAGCCCUUAGGGUGCAGUUAUCCUGCUGACUUCUCCCGGAAGAAAAAAAGCAAUUGAUGGGUCUUCUGCAAUUUGCUUAAUUAUCAAAAAAUUAUUUUGCAAGCUGAAGGCUGACGUUUAAUUUGAAACAGGUGCUUAGGUUGUGGUAUUUGUGAAUUCUUAGCCUUUUGCUCCAAACAAGAAGACUAAUAAAUGGCAAGUAUGGAUGACUUCAGGUUUUUUAAAAAAAUGUCUUCCAGUUUCGGCCACUAUUAUGAUAAGCACAUUUGAGACUGCAGCAGUAAAUUCCAAAUAUUUGUUGUAAUUUGAAAAGAAAAAGAUGUUAAAAAGUUACAUAUAUCUCUAUAUCCUGGUUCAUCUUGUGACAGAUUUACUGGAUAGAAAUGAAGGUCCAGUUUUGCAGUUAACCCUUUGGUGUGAUAAAGAAGCAUAAAGACAAGAUAUCAAGAUUGAUUUCAUAUCUGAUACCUAAAGAGAAUCUGUACAAAUACAUAUUUUUACAUGUGUAAAUCCACAUUUUUGGAUGAAAGGAGGGGUUUUUCUCCUGGAGACAGAACCUGUUAUUUACUUUUUCAAGUCUUGGAACAUUUGCUCUUUUUAAAUUUUUUCAUUCUUCUACAGAAGGACCAGAUUGUGUAGCAGCUAAGUGAGUGCAUGCUUACAUUUAGUUAAAAGAAUGGUAAAAGCGAACAACCCAGUUUGAGUCCAUGAUGGAACCCUGUUCACCUUCCUAAGAUGAGAGGCUGCUGUAUUACAGUUUUAUUCAUCCUGUUUUCUGGAGUCAUAUAGCACAGUAGAGUUAGUUUUCCGUGUGGCCAAAACUGGAAUAAAAGUAGCACGAGUAGUUUUUUAGAUAAGAAGGUGAGAUGGACCCUAUAGUAUGACCUGCUUUGAACUUUGGACAUAGAAGAGAAGAAAAAGAUAAUGAGAAGUUUCCAUAUAACUCCUUUUUCCUAAGAAAAAGAAAAAUGUCUUAUGUAGCACCAUUUGACUUUUUUGGAAUUUUACAUUACAUAGUUCCAUUUUUUAUAAAGUCACAAGUAACUCUUUUCUCAACCCAGAUGGGUACUUGGAUUUAUUUUUCUAGGUGGUAGGUGUAAUGUUAAACUGAAAAGGCUGGGACUCAGGUAAAUUUCCCCAGUUGGAAUUGGACUUUCUCGUUACCGAGUGGGUCUAUCUCAGAACCAAUGUUGUCAAUCCACUGGUUUCAUUGUAGAUUUAGAAGAAAUUCAGGAUCUGAAAAAAAAAACCUCAAAUAAGAAAAAUAGUUCCACUAAGAAAUGUGGAUUUUGUGUUUCGUUCAUUAUAGAUUGAGAAGAAAUUCAGGGUUUGGGGAAAAAGAAAACAAAAACAAGAAAUAUGGAUCUUCCUUCUUUUUUUCCCCUUUAACAGUUAUAUGAUGAAGACUAGAGUGGAAAACUGUUCUUGCUUUCAAACAAACAGGAGCAUUGUAUGAUAUCAAGCCUUUCAUAAGAAGCAUGGACACUUUAUUAAUGAUUCUUAGUAGAGAAAGAAUUUUAAACUUACUAGAUGAAAUUAAGAACAGGUAGUAUAAUUAGAUCAUCUUUGUUUUCUGGAAUGGUUGCUGAGGGCCAUGGGUGCGAUGAUGUUGGGAACACAGGGCAGAUUUACCAAAAAUUGAGAGUGAUAGAAAUUGCCAAAAUGGGAAAUGUUGAGCAUUGUUAUGAUUAGAUUGGUGAACUAAUUUGAUUUAGAAUAAAAAAGCUUUUUCACAAAAUACAUAGUGUAGAUAAAAUAUAUAUAUAUAUAAUUUUUUAAAAAUUUCUUUUAAUGUAGAGCAUUUACUGAGAGAGAUAAGAGAAAUAACUUUGGUUAAAGGUAACUUAGAUUUUUCUUUAAAUAACCCCUUAUGCCACUUCUUGAUAUUUUCCUUUACUAUUUUGGACUUGUUAAAGACUGAAAGCCUAUAUACAUAUAUCCCACUGUUAUGUUGGGAAUGUCAUCAUGGAGAAUUUGUACCUUCUAGGUGUCAUAUCCAUCUCCCCCAUGUCUUCUUGGCAACUUUUUGGGUAGGGUCAUGGGGCAAGGGAUAUAAGCACCAGUGGAACAACUCUGAUCCACUUGUUUGAACAGGUGUCAGACCUGCCUCCUUCAGCAUUUUUUCAACUUAUAACUGAGAACCAGUGUUAAUGAUAUCUUUCAAAGGAAAUGUUUCCACAUCUUACAUGAUUGACAUUAGAUGACGUUUAACAACAUGGGCAUAUUCCAGUUGUAGUUGCCCAGUAUUUACUUAAUACAUUUGCAUUUUUCUCUGGUCUGUUGGUCCCUUUCUUGAUGGCAAAAACUUAAUUUUAGAAAUGCUUCAAUCUGCAUUUGUGCUUCCUUUGCUUUGCUCAUCCAUGUUAGCUGGCAGUUUAUCCUUUGAAAAGUCAAACAAAAACGGGAUAUGUGCAAUAGAAAUAUAUAUAUGUAUAUUUUAAUACUUGUGGACAAAUGUUACAAGUUGUUUAAGAACAACAAAAUCACCAAUGUCUUCCAUUUUGAGAUGUGUAUAGUUUUGUAAGCAUUAGUGCUUGGUAGCAUAUUAUAGUGCCAUGUUAGGGGUUAGUGCAUGAUCCUAGUAAUAAUUUUAAACUUCAGGAUGAGUUAUUGAUAAUAACCAAUAGUGUAAAAAGAGUUGAAACUCUAUAUAAGACUUUUUUUUUCUUCCCAUAAAUACCUGAAUCUGUGAUAUUCUCCCUGGGGAAAGGAGAUUAAGGACAAAAACAAUUGUUUAUGAAUAGAAAUGUGGGUUCACCAUUAGAAACAUCGUAUUUGAGGACAUAAAUGCUUUCCAUGAGCUGGCUAGAAACAGCUAGCCUUGUAUCUCACAAAACCUCAAGUCAAAAUGAGGCCCCAUUUUCAUGAUUCUGUGUUGCUGUUAAUUUGAGGUCAAUUUGUUCUUAUACUGUUUUCAUAUUAUGUCUUGGGUUCAUUCUUACUCCUUUUGCAUCUACAAAUAGUUUUACAUUCUGCAUGUCCUACUAAGAUGCUGUAAUUGCUUCAUUGAGUGCUUAUAUAAUCUGCAGACUAUUUGCUAAUCCUGUCAGCAGCAUGUGUGUUAAUGCAAGAAUAAUAUCAAUGGUUUGGGAGUGUCCUAGAUUGUUUCAGCCUCUUCUAUUUCUGAAUCUGCUAAAUUGUUUACUGAUGGGAUUCCAGACCUUUUCAUGAGCAUUGGAAACAUAGUUAAAUGGAGCUUACCUACGUUGCCAUAUAAUAAUAAGUGGACUCUUGCCCUUGGUUACAGUAAGCCACAGAUAACUUUCCCUUUUUUCUGUUUUCCCUUAUAGAAAUAAAACAGUCAUUUUUGUUUUGAAAGCAAAAGAUAGUUUUUUGUAAAAAGAAAUUCCUACCUCUAAUCGUCGUCUUGAGAACUGGGAAUUGUUAGUUUUCUGAAGUGUUUUUCAAAUCUCAGUACUAAGAGUCCACGAUUUAUUAGCACAGAUUCUACAUUAGAAAGCUAGGAAAUGCAAAACUGUUCUAAUGUGGUGCAUCCUCAUGAACAAGCAAUCUAUAAUAAGUAGAUUUUAGUAGUAAAUCUCUGGAGGACCCAGGUUUAGAUCCCUAUAGUGUACUUAAAGUUUUGUGCCUGGGAAGAUCCAUUUCUGAAAAGAAUUUAAAAUUUAAAACUCUGAAAAAGGUAAUGAAUAUAAAACAGCACAGUGUAUAGGAAAGGAAAUUUCUGUUGCAAAAAUUUUUAAAAAGCCAUAAAAUGAACUAAUAAUUUUCAAGAGGUAGACUUUUAGCAGCAAUAACGGUUUUGCAUGUAUAAUACACUGCAUUUGCUGUACAGUAGACUAAGUGAUUACUACUUGAGUUUGUGGGGCUCUGUGAUCAACAGAGUUAACAAAAUGAAAAAGAUGAUCUAGGUACAGAGCAUAUAAAAGGUACUUUCUUUUAAUUAAAACAGUAUGAAUGUAUGACUAUAUCUGUAUGAGAAAUAACUUUUGUGUAUGUUUCAAGGUUAAAGACCCUAUUUGUUUCUUAAAGCAGAGGGUUGGAGUUAUUGAAGUGAAAUCCUUCUAGUGUUUAAUAUGGAAACAAAUGCACUCUACAGCCCCAGUGAAGUCAAGGUGGGGUUUUUGCUUUGGUUUUUCCAUGUUACAAUAGGUAUUCACUGUAUAGAAUGGUAUUCUCUUCUGCUUUGUCACCUUUCUCUUUUGGCUUCCUGGGUACAUUUUUAAAGAGGAAAAGUGUGUGUGUGUGUGUGAGAGAGAGAGAGAUUAGAGUUUAAAAAAAUUUUUAAAAGCCAAGAACUUGUUUAGCUUGCUUUUCCUCAUGUUUAUGAUUAAGGAAGUUAUGAUUUAAAGGUAAGAAGCAGGAGGACUGGGGAAUAGCCAAAGACUAUUGGUUUUGUGAUACCUUGUUUAAUGCAGUUGUGACAAUGCCUGUGGCCUUUGACUACUUAUUUUAAGGAGAACCUAGCAAACUACUUUCCUGAUCUGAGGAAUUGCACAACUCACUUCAGGAUGUAACAGUGAAACUAGGGUGACUUCUUACUUACUUUACCUCAUGUCCAAGCUUGGCCAUUUAGCACCUUGAAGGUCCCUGAAAAGGUCUGUGUACCUUUGUUUUCCUGGGGCAGGGGGACUAAAAGAUAAGCAUUAUAGAUUUCGGAAUCACUUGAAUCUUUAAUUCUUAUAUGGCAACUCCAAUGGACAAGGAAGGGCUAUAUUGAUUGUAGCUUCUCUUUAAAUGUCCUAUACUGUCAGUCCAUGUUAGACAUUGGAACAGUCAAGCAAUAUUCAGACAUCUGCAUGAUCAUGAGGACAUGGCUACUAAUUACAUUGAUGUCAACACUUAUUUCAAACAGCUAAAGAUUAUCCUUAACAACCAUGUUGUUAAUAGUUCUAACUGCUAAAGUAUGCUACAAGUUUUUGUAGUCUCAAAGUAUGUGGUUAAAUGCUUUUCAAAGUUAUUGUAGUCUCAUGUUUACUCUUAUGUACCUGUCAUAUGCAAAAUAUGAAGAGACCCUUGGCCUUCAGGAGUUUACAUUCUCAUGGUGCUGUUGGUGCAAGCAAAUUGCUUCUAGUUUUUUCAGAACAUUGCUUGGCUAUUAAUUAUACAAUUUGGAAGAAUCCCUUGGCUAAUAGUUUUUAAAAGCAGAGGGCUAUGCUAAAUUUCAGGGCACUGAUGCUUGAGUUUACAUUGUAUUAGCUCUGCCCUUCAACUACUUUUCCCCAGGGAGCUGUACAGGUAAUGCUCAUUAAUGUGAAUCAGAAAAGAAACUAUUCUGCCCAAGAGCUUCUUCAUCAUCCCAUAUAUUACAUGUUUUUCUAUGAUAUGGCUGUCAAUAAAUGGCCAAGAAAACUUACUGCUACAUAAGACUGUGCAUCUCUUAAUUCUCUUUUCUUUAUCUAAGGGUUUUACAUGGUUCUUUAUCCAAAAGGGCCAGGAUUUACAUAUAAGCCUUUUAUAACUGAAGUGGUCCUAAUUUUAAACUUUUUGUGUAUGCUUAGACUUCUUUUUUGAAGUAGCAUUGUGAAGAUUUGGAGCACCUGCUUGCAUUUCUAAGCAAUUACUUUAUUAACUCAAAUUUUCAGUUGAAAUUUUGCAUGUCUCCUUGUUAUUUUCCAUAAUUCUUCUGAAUCAAGGGUUUUACUCUGCAUGUUUAUUAAAGCUGGGUCUGAUUGAAAGUAUAAGCAAUAGUGGUGGGUCCAUACUGAUUUUAGAAUACUAAUAUUCUAAUGCAUGACUGAAAUUUUUCAGUGUUAUGUGGUUAUUAUUAGUAAUUUUAUAUAUGCAUUUAAUAAUGAAGCAAUAGAUACUUAAACCAAUAGCUUGAAUUUAUUGAAUUAUUAGUUUUAAUUUUCUAAUUAAAAUUAUCUUACUUCCAUUCAAAAUGGGAAGUCAAAGAUAAACAGGGGCACCCACAAGACAUUCAAACUGUCAGGAUUAGGACAUAACAUUGCUUACCCUCACCUCUUUCCUAGUCCCAAUAGACCCCCCCAAGCAUGUUUGAAAACAAGACACAAACUAAGCAUGUUGAAUGAGCUGCAGUGGCUAUAAUAAUCAGAAAGGUGCAGAGUUUCAGAAAGGAUAGCAACGUAGGGAAUUAGUGUGCAGUCUGUAAAGGUAUGGGGUUUGUCUGAUAAGGUUUAUGUAGACCUGUUUGGGGUUUCUUAAAACUAGUUAUUGAGUCAGGCAUGGUGGCACGCCUCUGUAAUCCCAGCUGCUCAGGAGGCUGAGGCAGGAGGAUCACAAAUUCAAUUUCAGACUCAACAAUUUGACUAGACCCUAUCAAAAAAAUAAAAAGGGCUGGGGAUGUGGUAAAGUGCCUCUGGGUUCAAUCUCCAGUAUUCACCCCUCCUGGGAGGGGAGAAAAACUAGUAUCUUGAGCCAAGUGUUGUGGCACAUACCUGACUUCCAACUACUUAGGAGACUAAGGGGAGGAAAUUACUUGAGCUCGGGAUUUUGAGGCCCACGUGGGCACCAUAGUGAAAUCACAUCACAAAAAGUAAUAUACGCAUAUUUUAGAUGUUUUAAGCAACUGUUCUGGAUGAUACUGAUCAGCUAUAAGGGAUCCUGCAAGGGAGACAUUCAUCUAUAAAGUUAUGAAAUUGCUGAUAUGUAGUUUCUUGUUACUGUAUUCAAAACUUUUUUAUUAAUAACCAGAGUUUUAUGCCUGACUUGGUGAGAAUGCAGUUUCUUCCCUAAGAGUUUUUGAUCCCAGGUACACAGGUGAAAACUUUUCUCUUUCAAAAAUAAUGAUAAUCUUGACAUUUAUUUUAUGAAAAAACAUCAGCUUAUUGUGGUAGCAUAAGGGCUGGGGGUGUAGCACAGUGGUGGAGUGCUUUCCUAACACGCAAGGCCCUGGGUUGCAAAAGAAAACAAGAACCUAGAAGUAGUAACCCUAGUGAUUAUAAGAAAUAAUGUACAAAUGUAAUUCAUAAUGUCUGAAAGAAGCCUAAAUAGAGAAUUCAGGAUAAGACUACAUGAUUUUCAUUAGGCUCUUCCAGGUUUCAUGUUCUAUGAUUGAAAUCAACUUCGUAUUUGCUUCAGGACUUUGCUACAUAUAUCUUUGGGAUGUAUUAAAUGGAAUGGUGAUUUCAGUGGUUCAGAAUUUAUUUAGGUUUGUCAUUAAGAUGUUUGCUUUCUACAGAAAUAUAGAAAGUGAGGUGUAUCCCGUAUGUAAAUGUUCUUUGCCACUUACAGAUAACAUGUCUGCCAAUCAAUAAAGAUUUAAGGUCUAGACUCUCCCUGUUAUUCACUAAGCAUAUUUAGAUUAUUUGGAAAAUGAAAAUUCAAACGAAAUUUCUCCAGAAACUAAAUUUUACUCAUUUAAAAGAAUAGUUGGCUUAUGAUUAUGAUUUUCAAAAUGUUUUUCUCCUAUGGUGUGGCGUGUCAUCAAUUAAAAUACAUUUUAGGGUUGGUGUGUAGCUCAAUGGUAGAUCACCUGGCUAGCAUGCCUGAGUACCUGGGUCCAAUCCCCAGAAUCUCAAAAAAAAUUUUUUUUUCUUUAUCCCAAGGGUCAGGAAGAUAUUCUGGCAGUUAUCUCAAUCUUUAAACAGUUCAGUCUUGGAGUUUAUUUUAAAACCACAUACUCAUCUUCAUAAUAAAAUGUUCAGGAUAUUAAGUGUAUAUUAUCAAUAAUUUAUUUACUGUCCCCUAAGUACAGGACUUGACCACUAUAUUUAUGUGCUAUUCUACAUAUUCCAUUGUACCAUUGGUCUAUAAGAUGUUAAAAGAAUUUUAUUGAAUAUUUGAAGUAUUACAAAAGGCAGCUUGCUUUUUAAUCUAUGCAUCUUUGGGAGUUUUGAAGAAGAUAUUUAUUCCUUGAUGUAAAAAGGAACUGUUUUAAGAGUUGGAAACUCUGCACCUGUGUAUAUGUAUAUUUUUAGCAAUAAAGCAGCAUGGGCUGAGAAUGCACUGAAA